GCCUACGGGGCGCAGCAGUGAGGAAUAUUGGUCAAUGGCCGGGAGGCUGAACCAGCCAAGUCGCGUGAGGGAAGACGGCCCUACGGGUUGUAAACCUCUUUUGUCAGGGAGCAAGGUGCAGGUCGGGACCUGCUGUGAGAGUACCUGAAGAAAAAGCAUCGGCUAACUCCGUGCCAGCAGCCGCGGUAAUACGGAGGAUGCGAGCGUUAUCCGGAUUUAUUGGGUUUAAAGGGUGCGCAGGCGGAGGCACAAGUCAGCGGUAAAAAUUCGGGGCUCAACCCCGUCCGGCCGUUGAAACUGGGGGC
rnacentral:rRNA from 1 species